rnacentral:rRNA from 1 species
GAAUAUUGGACAAUGGGGGCAACCCUGAUCCAGCCAUGCCGCGUGUGUGAAGAAGGUCUUCGGAUUGUAAAGCACUUUACGUUGGGAGGAAGGGCUUUAGGUUAAUACCCUGAAGUUUUGACGUUACCAACAGAAUAAGGACCGGCUAACUCGGUGCCAGCAGCCGCGGUAACACAGAGGGUGCAAUCUUUAAUCGGAAUUCCUGGUGUUAAAGCGCGCGUAGGUGGUUCAGUAAGAUGGGUGUGAAAUCCCCGGGCUUAACCUGGGAACUGCUUUCAUAACUGCUGAGCUAGAGUACGGUAUAGGGUAGUGGAAUUUCCUGUGUAGCGGUGAAAUGCGUAGAUAUAGGAAGGAACACCAGUGGCGAAGGCGACUACCUGGACUGAUACUGACACUGAGGUGCGAAAGCGUGGGGAGCAAAC